CUUCUUGGAGGAUGGCCCAUGAAGACCUCCAAACAAGCUGGAGGGGCCAGUCACUUGCUGAAGACUAGCGAAGUGGAGGGGGAAAGCCCGAGGGAGCUGCAGACUCGACCACUGCGCCCUCCCCUCCUCUCCCUGCAAGGAGCCCAAGGUAGACGCACCCUCUGAAGAUGGUGACUCCCUCCUGAGAAGCUGGACCCCUUGGUAAAAGACAAGGCCUUCUCCAAGAAGAAUAUGAAAGUGUUACUCAGACUUAUUUGUUUCAUAGCUCUACUGAUUUCUUCUCUGGAGGCUGAUAAAUGCAAGGAACGUGAAGAAAAAAUAAUUUUAGUGUCAUCUGCAAAUGAAAUUGAUGUUCGUCCCUGUCCUCUUAACCCAAAUGAACACAAAGGCACUAUAACUUGGUAUAAAGAUGACAGCAAGACACCUGUAUCUACAGAACAAGCCUCCAGGAUUCAUCAACACAAAGAGAAACUUUGGUUUGUUCCUGCUAAGGUGGAGGAUUCAGGACAUUACUAUUGCGUGGUAAGAAAUUCAUCUUACUGCCUCAGA
rnacentral:lncRNA from 1 species